CAGCCGCCGCGGUAAUACGUAGGGCGCAAGCGUUGUCCGGAAUUAUUGGGCGUAAAGAGCUCGUAGGCGGUCUGUCGCGUCUGGUGUGAAAUCCCGAGGCUCAACCUCGGGCUUGCAUCGGGUACGGGCAGACUAGAGUGCGGUAGGGGAGACUGGAAUUCCUGGUGUAGCGGUGGAAUGCGCAGAUAUCAGGAGGAACACCGGUGGCGAAGGCGGUUCUCUGGGAAUGUUCUGACGCUGAGGAGCGAAAGUGUGGGGAGCGAACAGGAUUAGAUACCCGCGUAGUCCCUGUCUCUUAUAC
rnacentral:rRNA from 1 species